AGCGGCUCGUUUCUACCCGGAGCUGCACCCAUUUCCGGCUUGGAGAUGAGCGUUGUUCGCCUUCUUGUUCUCCUUCUCCUCCUCACACUCUCUCUCGGCAACCUCGCAUUUUCCUUACCAGAAAACGAGGCUCUUCUCAAAUUUAAGAACUCCCUAACUCGGGCUGUUACCUUGGGUAAUUGGGUUUCAGGAUCCAGCCCUUGUAUAAAUGGAUGGGUUGGUGCCAUUUGCUUUGAUGGUUUCGUCACAGGCCUUCAUCUUUCAGACUUGAGUCUCUCAGGAACAAUUGAUAUCGAAGCAUUGCAACAGCUUCCUGGCCUUAGAACCAUCAGUUUUGCUAACAACUCAUUCUCAGGUCCAAUCCCUGAGUUCAAUAAACUUGGUGCAUUAAAAUCACUCUUAUUAUCCCACAAUGAGUUUUCUGGUGAAAUACCAAAUGAUUUCUUCGUCCCUAUGUCAUCUUUAAAGAAAAUUUGGCUCUCUAAUAAUAAAUUCACUGGAAAAAUACCCGGGUCAGUGAUGGAACUACCGCAUCUCAAGGAAUUGCACCUCGAAGGGAACCAAUUCUCUGGACCAAUCCCUCCAUUGAAACAACCCAAGCUACUACUAACCUCCCUGGACCUCUCACACAACAAACUCGAAGGAGAAAUUCCUCCGAGCUUUUCCACAUUCAGUGCCUCUUCAUUUGCUGAAAAUGAUGGACUCUGUGGAAAACCACUCGACAAAGAUUGCUCUUCAAGCCCUCCAGCAAUGGUUGUACCAG
rnacentral:misc_RNA from 1 species